AAAUGUGACUGCAAAACUAGUAUUACUGCAACUUUGUGACUCCAAAUCUUGUUUUCUACAUAAUUUAGGAGACUAAUGCAUUUACAAGAUUUAUUAGUUUAUGUUUUGGGGCACACAGUAUAUAAAGAUGUAAUUUUGUGACAUCAACCACCUAAAGGAGUGAAGAUGGAGCUUUAAAGGAGCAGAGUUUUUGUAUGUUAUUGAAGUUGACCUGCUAUAAAUUUGAAUUAGAAUGUUAUAACUUUAGGAAAAUUGCUAUAGAAUACACUCAGAGGGAAUUUAAACAUUUCACCACACAAAAAAUUAAAUGCAAAAGAAGACAGAAAUGCAGGAAAUGAGGAACAAAAAGAUACAGACAAGCAUUCUCUGUGCCCUGUAGGCUAUAAUAGGGCCUGUAGGAAACCGGUAGCACAAUGUCUUUCCUUCCACUUCAGCAAGAAAGAACUGGUGUCCAGCCACGGCCUGAGGACAUUCACGAGCCUCCUCACAGGAGGAAAUGGGUGGGGAGCUUCUAGGAGCCUUUGGUGGUGGGAGUGGGGCUCUUUUCUGCCAGGUGGAGCUGGCUUUGCUGAUUAACCAUCUAAGGCUAGCACAGCCGGCCAGGGUGAGGCAGGUGGGAACAGUCAGCCUCUACCAAUUCCCCAGGGCCUCACCCAGUGCCUGGCAGGCACUCACUCAGUAAACACUAGUUGCUACAUGAGUUAAUGGGCUUUGCACACACAUGCAAGUGGAGAACACCAGGAACCUGACAGGGGCCAGCUGAGUUCCUCUCUGCAUUGCCAAUUUAUUAUGGUGACGGUGCAAAGCCAAACCUCUUCCAAACAGUUUCGUUUGCUCCUAUGGACGGGUAGCAGAGAGUCCUUUGCUUCAAGCAGGCUGCCCAGGAGUGAAGGUCACUUGCUCUUGCUGGUGAAAAAAAGCAGGAGCAGUGAGCAUAGAAACUGGCCUGGCCUUGGAUACUGUUUGUGGUUGUGGAGCUGCAGAAGGAGGCUGUGACUUCUCUCCUGCCUGACAUUCUGUAUGAGAUUGGAAGUCAGGCUUUCUCUCGGAGCAAAGACUUCUACCACCUGGGCAUCACUACAACUGAGCGUGGUGUGCGAAGCGGUGCCAUGUCCACACCUGGGAUCCGAAUCGGCGAACCCCGGGCCGCCAAAGUGGAAUGUGGGAACUUAACCCCAAGGACCUGCCUUCUUGACGUUACAGUGUCCGUGCUUGAUGAGCACAUGCUUCCCUUCCUGCUGGGAAUAACGGGCACAGAGGCGGAGCGCUGGGCCAUGAAGUCAGACAGACCUAACUUGAACAUGCUUCCACCACUUACUGUGUGUGUGUGUGUCAAUGUGAACUUGGGCAAGCUGAUGUCCUCACAUGCAAGAUGGGGUGGGCUUGGAGGACCUACGCUACACAGCAUAAAGUGCUCGGAGCAUGCAGUCAGGUGCCGGCAUAAUAAAGUGUUUAAUAAAGGUCUUAAUAAAUAAAAUUAAUAAAUAAAAGUGACUGUGCUUAAUAAAGAUCAGAGGCCGUUGUUUCCUCACGCUCUGACUGGAUUAUACUAACAAGAACUUUGACCACUGGGAGGGAAAAUCAGUGAAUAGUGAAAGUUUAGGAUUUUAUGGCUUACCUCUUCUUGACAAUGAGUUAGGGCCUUUGGGGGUUUCAUUCCAUCAAACAUCUGACUUAUGAAUAGCCAACUUGCAACUUCCCUGAAAAGAUCCAAGAUGGACUCCCACCUGGAGCUGGAGCUCCAGUGGCAAGAUUUCCCAGGCACCCUUCCUGCUGCUGCCACAGAACCAAGGCCUAGGUCCUGUUCAAACUGCCCCGGAGCCACUGCCUCGUCCAGGAAGCCUUCCCGGGCUGCCAGACACCUAGUGCUCUAUGUUACUCACUGUUAUUGGAGUAUCUCCCCCCUUGAAGGCGGAGACCUGCGUGCCUUAUUCCUGGAACACAGUACUUCCUCAAAUACCUGUUGAAUGAGUAGAGCAUGGGCGUUCUUUGCUGCCCAGCAUUUUCCCAUAAAUACAAUGUUACCUAUGGGUUGUUUUCAACCUGGCUGUACAUUAGAAUCACCUGGAGAGCUUUAACAACUACUGGUGCCUGGGCCCCGCCCACACCAGUGAGAUCCUUUGGGUGUGGAGCACAGGCCUGGGUGUCUUCUAGCAUCCCACCUGCUUCCAAACACAGCCAAGGUCCAGCAGCACAGUUGCACACCGUGAGUGUUAGGCCCUCGGUGCACCUGUGCUGCAGGAAGAGAAACUGCCCUGCGGGAAGACCUGCUUUCAUGUAAGGGGCUUCUCGCUUCUCUCUGCCUGUUGGUCUUUAAAAUGGUGAGAUGACAUCUACUUCAUGGAGCUGUUAGGAAAAAAGCGAUAGAGAGAGAGUGGCUGUGCACAUGUCAAUCACACUUGUGAUGAAACAGGAGCAUCCUAUCACAUACUGUAUUUUUAGUUACGAAAUUCAGUAUCUAAACGCAGAGAAGAGGCCAAGGGAGUUCAGCUCUUUAAACUGUGGUCUCUCUACACUCAGGGAGGGGAGGGGGUUUAAACAGAGCCAGACUGAGCCAUGUAGGUGCCCAGUGCAGUUAAUGGGUUAGUUCCCCUUUCAAGCUGAUAGUCUUAAAAUUUGCUCAGCAUUCAUUCAGAAGAGGCUGAAUGCCAGGUGGGGGAGGACACAGGCACUUCCUGCUGUCCUGAGCAAUUCAGCUCUAGUCUCAGAACA
rnacentral:lncRNA from 1 species